UACGUAGGGGGCGAGCGUUGUCCGAAGUUACUGGGCGUAAAGCGCGCGUAGGCGGGGGGUUAAGUGAGAGGUGAAAGGCUGGGGCUCAACCUCAUGCAGUGCCUCUCAUACUGGCCUUCUUGAGGGCGGUAGGGAGAAGUGGAAUGGCUGGUGUAGCGGUGAAAUGCGUAGAUAUCGGAAGGAACAUCAGUGGCGAAAGCGGCUUCCUGGACCAGCACCGACGUUCAGGCACGAAAGCGUGGGGAGCAAACAGG
rnacentral:rRNA from 1 species